AACAGGAUUAGAUACCCUGGUAGUCCACGCCGUAAACGAUGUCGACUUGGAGGUUGUGCCCUUGAGGCGUGGCUUCCGGAGCUAACGCGUUAAGUCGACCGCCUGGGGAGUACGGCCGCAAGGUUAAAACUCAAAUGAAUUGACGGGGGCCCGCACAAGCGGUGGAGCAUGUGGUUUAAUUCGAUGCAACGCGAAGAACCUUACCUGGUCUUGACAUCCACGGAAGUUUUCAGAGAUGAGAAUGUGCCUUCGGGAACCGUGAGACAGGUGCUGCAUGGCUGUCGUCAGCUCGUGUUGUGAAAUGUUGGGUUAAGUCCCGCAACGAGCGCAACCCUUAUCCUUUGUUGCCAGCGGUCCGGCCGGGAACUCAAAGGAGACUGCCAGUGAUAAACUGGAGGAAGGUGGGGAUGACGUCAAGUCAUCAUGGCCCUUACGACCAGGGCUACACACGUGCUACAAUGGCGCAUACAAAGAGAAGCGACCUCGCGAGAGCAAGCGGACCUCAUAAAGUGCGUCGUAGUCCGGAUUGGAGUCCGCAACUCGACUCCAUGAAGUCGGAAUCGCUAGUAAUCGUGGAUCAGAAUGCCACGGUGAAUACGUUCCCGGGCCUUGUACACACCGCCCGUCACACCAUGGGAGUGGGUUGCAAAAGAAGUAGGUAGCUUAACCUUCGGGGGGGCGCUUACCACUUUGUGAUUCAUGACUGGGGUGAAGUCGUAACAAGGUAACC
rnacentral:rRNA from 1 species